AGAGUUUGAUCCUGGCUCAGGAUGAACGCUGGCGGCGUGCCUAACACAUGCAAGUCGAACGAAGCUUGACGGAUGAUUUCUUCGGAAUGAAACCAGAUAUGACUUAGUGGCGGACGGGUGAGUAACACGUGAGCAACCUGCCUUUCAGAGGGGGAUAACGGCUGGAAACGGUCGCUAAUACCGCAUGAUGUGUUCGGAUGGCAUCAUCUGAACAUCAAAGAUUUAUCGCUGAAAGAUGGGCUCGCGUCUGAUUAGAUAGUUGGUGGGGUAACGGCCUACCAAGUCGACGAUCAGUAGCCGGACUGAGAGGUUGAACGGCCACAUUGGGACUGAGAUACGGCCCAGACUCCUACGGGAGGCAGCAGUGGGGAAUAUUGCACAAUGGGGGAAACCCUGAUGCAGCAACGCCGCGUGAAGGAUGACGGUUUUCGGAUUGUAAACUUCUUUUCUUAGUGACGAAGACAGUGACGGUAGCUAAGGAAUAAGCAUCGGCUAACUACGUGCCAGCAGCCGCGGUAAUACGUAGGAUGCAAGCGUUAUCCGGAUUUACUGGGUGUAAAGGGAGCGCAGGCGGGACUGCAAGUUGGGUGUGAAAUACCGUGGCUUAACCACGGAACUGCAUCCAAAACUGUAGUUCUUGAGUGAAGUAGAGGCAAGCGGAAUUCCGAGUGUAGCGGUGAAAUGCGUAGAUAUUCGGAGGAACACCAGUGGCGAAGGCGGCUUGCUGGGCUUUAACUGACGCUGAGGCUCGAAAGUGUGGGGAGCAAACAGGAUUAGAUACCCUGGUAGUCCACACUGUAAACG
rnacentral:rRNA from 1 species